GAUGAAUGCUGGCGGCGUGCCUAACACAUGCAAGUCGAGCGGCAGCGAGGGGUGCUUGCACCCUGUCGGCGAGCGGCGAACGGCUGAGUAACGCGUAGGAAUUUGCCCCAAGGUGAGGAAUAACUGCCCGAAAGGGUAGCUAAUGCCGCGUAUGGUCUUCGGAUUAAAGGAUUUAUCCGCUUUGGGAGAAGCCUGCGUUGGAUUAGGUUGUUGGUAGGGUAAUGGCCUACCAAGCCGACGAUCCAUAGCUGGUCUGAGAGGAUGAUCAGCCAGACUGGAACUGAGACACGGUCCAGACUCCUACGGGAGGCAGCAGUGAGGAAUCUUCCACAAUGGGCGAAAGCCUGAUGGAGCAACGCCGCGUGAAGGAUGAAGGCCUUCGGGUUGUAAACUUCUUUUAUGAGUGAAGAAUAUGACGGUAACUCAUGAAUAAGCACCGGCUAACUACGUG
rnacentral:rRNA from 1 species